UACGAAGGGGGCUAGCGUUGUUCGGAAUUACUGGGCGUAAAGGGCGCGCAGGCGGCUCUUCAAGUCAGAUGUGAAAGCCCCGGGCUCAACCUGGGAACUGCAUUUGAGACUGGGGAGCUUGAGUUCGGGAGAGGAUGGUGGAAUUCCCAGUGUAGAGGUGAAAUUCGUAGAUAUUGGGAAGAACACCGGUGGCGAAGGCGGCCAUCUGGACCGAUACUGACGCUGAGGCGCGAAAGCGUGGGGAGCAAACAGG
rnacentral:rRNA from 1 species